rnacentral:rRNA from 1 species
CCCUUAGAUGUUCUGGGCCGCACACGCGCUACACUGAAGGAGGCAGCGUGUACUCCUGGAUCGAAAGAUUUGGGUAACCCGCGAAUCUCCUUCGUGCUAGGGAUUGAGGUUUGCAAUUAUCCUUCAUGAACGAGGAAUUCCCAGUAAGUGCAAGUCAUAAGCUUGCGCUGACUACGUCCCUGCCCUUCGUACACACCGCCCGUCGCUACUACCGAUUGAAUGAUUUAGUGAGGACUUCGGACUGGGACCGAUGCGGCUUUCGGGCUGCGUCGGUAUUCUGGAAAGAUGUCCAAACUGUAUCAUUUAGAGGAAGUAAAAGUCGUAACA